GACGUAGGGGCCAAGCGUUGUCCGGAUUCAUUGGGCGUAAAGCGCGCGUAGGCGGUUACGCAAGUCGGUUGUGAAAAUCCGGGGCUCAACCCCGGACCUGCAUCCGAUACUGCGUGACUAGAGGUAGGUAGGGGAGAUCGGAAUUCCUGGUGUAGCGGUGAAAUGCGUAGAUAUCAAGUGGAACACCAGUGGCGAAGGCGAAUCCCUGGAAAAUACCUGACACUGAGGCACGAAAGCUAGGGGAGCAAACAGG
rnacentral:rRNA from 1 species